rnacentral:rRNA from 1 species
CCUACGGGAGGCAGCAGUGGGGGAUAUUGCACAAUGGGGGAAACCCUGAUGCAGCGACGCCGCGUGGGCGAAGAAGUAUUUCGGUAUGUAAAGCCCUAUCAGCAGGGAAGAAGAAAUGACGGUACCUGAGUAAGAAGCACCGGCUAAAUACGUGCCAGCAGCCGCGGUAAUACGUAUGGUGCAAGCGUUAUCCGGAUUUACUGGGUGGAAAGGGAGCGCAGGCGGCACGGCAAGCCUUAUGUGAAAGCCCGCGGCCCAACCGCGGGACUGCAUUGGGAACUACCGGGCUGGAGUGCCGGAGAGGUAGGCGGAAGUCCUAGUGUAGCGGUGAAAUGCGUAGAUAUUAGGAGGAACACCAGUGGCGAAGGCGGCCUACUGGACGGUGACUGACGCUGAGGCUCGAAAGCGUGGGGAGCAAACAGGAUUAGAUACCCUAGUAGUC